GCACCGGUGGUGGAUGGAUCACGCACUAGUAAUAUUACAUAUCAUUAAUGGUUCCUGAUGUUAAGAUUGGUGUGACGGGGUUCGAUUCCCCGCCGGUGCA